UAAUAUUUAUAAUUAGGGGCAAAUUUCAAAGGGAUCACACUGUCACAAUACCCUAAGCAACCUUGAUCAACAUAUUCAAAAUUUGAACUGGACAUGAACAUGCAUACAACAAACAAAGAUGUCUUCUAUCAUGCACAAAGUAAUAUGAAUUUUACAAUGAAUUUAGAUCCAAAAGUUCCAACUAAUUCUAUUGACACUGGAUAGUGCAUAUGAUAGCCUUCAGUUGACAUGACUCUUGGAUUUAGGAAGAUUGGUGUUUACACAUAAUUUGGAUAACAUCUUUUGUAUUUGAAAUCAGAAAAUUCAACUUUAAGGACAGUCAGUACAGAGAAACAGAACUAAAGGAUACACAGAUAUGUAACACAACAACCUAUAGAGGACAGAGAAAAUUUUGUUUUAUUAUUAAAUCAUACUUUUUUAAA